CUGGCCACCUCUUGUAGUCAGUUAUCUCAAGCUUUUGAUCAGUCUCUUGAGCAUUUACUAGAAGUUUCAUAAUCAUUGUGUUUGCUGCCGUGAGGUUUUGUCAUUGGAUCUUCCUAGAAGGAUCAGUUCAACCGUUUUCUCUUCUUGUGGAACCAAGUACCUGCCUGCCUGCUCCGCCAGUCCACUCCGCUCUAUCAGACCUCUGGUUCUCUGUCACCACCUACCUCGCACUCGCCUCUAGGAGGAACCGUCAACCAUUCUCCACACAGGACCCCUGGGCAGCUUUCUCCCACGCGCCACCACAACCAUUCUAAAUGCUUUGCACCUCACGGCCACCAUAACAUGACUUGAGAAGUGGUGGAGAAGCGCUCAGGCUGUAGGAAUGGACCAACCAGCGGAGAAGGAGGAAGAGCUAAGCAAAGGAUCAUUGCUAUUAAAUGGUCACAGCAGGCAGUUGCUUAUCCCUGCAGUCAUUGGACAAGAGCUUCAUUACUGGCAUGAUCCAGGGGUGCUUGUCUAUUUACUGUGUGUGUUUCUCCUGCUACUUCCUCUUCUUUCUGUGCUGCUGCCUCCUCCAAGGAUAGUGCUGUUCCAGAGGGUCAACGUGAUCCCCUGCAGCUGGACAUCUCAUUGGGACUAUGAGAGGACCAGUAAGAUGCAGCUUAAUAUAAAUCUCCCAAACAUCAUCUAAGUUAUAGGUGGAGUCAACUAAAAGUCUUAAUUUAGUGUUUUGCAGGGUCUGUAAUUAAUUGCAAUUAAUACCAUUUUAUUCGAAAACCAUAAAGAUAAAAUACGCCACAUUUUCAAUUCAAAAACUCUGCUCAGUUGUUGAAUGAAUAGACACAUGAGCUCAACAACAAAGAUAAUUGUUGUUUUUAAUUUGUUAUUUAGGUUAUUCAAACAUGACAUCUGUGCUAAGUGUUAUUAUAGUAAUUCAGGUGUCAGGUUUUCCGGAGUCACUGAUCAUUCAUACAGCUUCUUUGACAAAAAUCUUCUUUAGAAUUGUGGACUGGGGAUGCUAAUAUUAGCUUUGGGGAUGUCUGUGCUAGCUGCAUCAUGUUUUGUGCUGACAUGGUCAAGCUUUUGCUGUUUAAAAAAUGAAUUGAUCAAUGUGCAAAGGUAGGCAGAAUGACAAUAAGUAGAAUUUUGUUUGACCACUUAAAAAGAGAUCUUAAUAUAUUCAGGACUGAG